AUUGAACGCUGGCGGCAGGCCUAACACAUGCAAGUCGAGCGAGCGGCGGACGGGUGAGUAAUGUCUGGGAAACUGCCUGAUGGAGGGGGAUAACUACUGGAAACGGUAGCUAAUACCGCAUACCAUCAGAUGUGCCCAGAUGGGAUUAGCUAGUAGGUGGGGUAACGGCUCACCUAGGCGACGAUCCCUAGCUGGUCUGACAGGAUGACCAGCCACUCGGGAACUGAGACCCGGUCCAGCGCCCUACGGGAGGCAGCAGUGGGGAUUAUUGCACAAUGGGCGCAAGCCUGAUGCAGCCAUGCCGCGUGUAUGAAGAAGGCCUUCGGGUUGUAAAGUACUUUCAGCGGGGAGGCGUUACCCGCAGAAGAAGCACCGGCUAACUCCGUGCCAGCAGCCGCGGUAAUAC
rnacentral:rRNA from 1 species